rnacentral:lncRNA from 1 species
AGAAAAUUAAACAUCAAAAAUCUUAAUUAAAGAAAAGAAAAAGAAAAAGGGGAAGAGGUGUAGGAUACCGAACUUCUGAAAAUAGGAAGUUACGGUAGGAUAGUAUGUCGGAGUUUAUUAUAAAAAUAAAUAUAAAUAAAAAUAGUGUGAGAUACUAUUUUAUUGGACUCAUAGAAGUAAUGUAUAAGUUGGAAAUGACCUGUGCUGAAAUCGGAGCGAAAAUCGAAGAUUUAGAAUUUUCUGUGAGGAAUGGGGCAGAUAAAUUAGCAGAAAAUACACAGUGUCAGAAAAUUAUGAAAACUGGAGGAUAUGUCAGAAUUAUUUUUAUGAGGCUAGAUUUAAAGUUUCAGCNUUUAUACUUGUGCCUUGCUCUUACUUGUUAGCACUUGUUGUGCUCUUGUGAUUGUGUACUUAUGAAUUGAUUCCUGGGUAAAUUCUUGUACAUGAUCGUUUGCUUAGCCUUGGGCGGACAGGGGAGACUCUGUCCGUUCGGCGUCUGUUCGACGCGCUCGAACCGGACCAAAUUGAUAGCGGUCUCGGGGCGUGACAAGAGGAGAGCUCCCUCACCUUCUUUUCCACUGCUGGCAAGCCCAGGAAACACCAAGGGGCGCGGGGUGUAUUUGUAAUGAUGCUGCAAUAGCAAAAACACCCCUGCAGUUCACACUGCUCAAAACUGCCACUGCGUACAGGUACACGGGUCCACGUACCGGUACACAUCCCACGAAAUAGCCAAACCCGAGCCUCGGGUUGGCUGGGAAGCUGCUUGUGUACCGGUACACGAUCCCGUACCGGUACAGCCAUCAACUCUGUACCGGUACACAGCCCAAUGAAGGCUACUCGAGAGCUAACCAAAAAUUCGAUUUUUCGGGUUUUGGUGCUAGGCUUCAAAUCUCCAUUCUCGGGACUCGAGCCAUAGGUCGGAACACUGUCUACGACCCAUCAGAAAGUCUGGAAAAACUCAGGACACCGUCCAAACACUCGAACCUUGCAAUUUGCAAAUGUCCAGUGUGUUACAUUCUUCACUCCUAAAAAGGAGUUUCGUCCGCGAAAUUGCUGGUCAACUACAACAAACCUAUCCAAAGAGGAUGGAAGAAGCGCUCUAGUAGCGCACCAAACAGACCAUGGUGGUCUCAAGUAUGCCGGAAAACCCCAAGGCACAAACACAACAAGAUCUCGCGACGCCAAGGCUUUGGCAUAACACAACCCAAACUUUCGCAUAAGCUCCUUGAACUCAAACCUUCACCGAAAGUUCCAUCUCUAAUCCGCACUUGAUCGACACGUCCAUCAGUUGGUCCUCACGAACCCAAGUGUUUCCGAAAGUUGAAUUUCAACUCUCACCUUUCUCGUCCAUGUCGAGGGUAAAGCAUUACUCUGCUUCAAUUACUCUAAUAUAUAGAAUUCCAUCCAAAUACCCCUCAAGGGUAGAUUCCAUGGUGCUAACCAAAGCAAGCGUCAGGGGGGGUUAAAUCCAUUACUCAUCUAUCGGAACUCCAUCGGAGUGCUCAUCUGAUCAACACUCACCAAGGAGAGGUGAUGCAACAUCCACUCAUCGGCUCAUAUUCCAACGAUGAUCCUUCAAAUCCAAGGUCAACUCUCUUCUCGAGAUGGCACAACUGAGUGCAAUUCAAUCCAAGGUUAAGUAUGGUGUACCCCCUUCCAUCUCAUUGCUAAUUGCAACUUCCACCUAUCCAUCCAAUCUUGCUUGGCACGAACGGUUCUAAACCAACAUCCAAGGUAGCCAACCUUCCAAUAGUAACAGGAACCGACGAAUCGUCCAACUCGCUCACCAAAGGUGAUCACUUGAUUCCUCAAUCGGUACGGCGAUACGAUGUCUCCACAUCAAUCUCAAACUCACCACUCGGGAGUACCCUCAAAUCCACUGCAAAACGGGGUCAGGAACUAAGCUCAAAGGCUUCAUCAAUGCACUAAGAUCAUCAUAAUAGUCCCAACUCAAGUCCAAGUAAACUCUUGCAAGCCUAGGCCAAGGGCCUAGCUUCGACAGAAGGUCCAUAACAUGACCGCUCGAAAAUUUUUGAUCUCAAUGCUUUUCCUAGCAUUGGAUGCUCCAGGUGUCCAUAGCCAUCGAGUUCAGUUCACGCGAUAGAGAGGGAUCAAGCCACAGUUCAGUAAUAACUCUCUAUCAAAGUCAUCCUGAAGCGACUGUCAAGCCAAAAUCCAUCCAAUAAGUCCUCAUAUGCAGCUCUAUCCCAAAGGGCUCAAAUCCUUGUACACGCUCCUGACAAGGGAAAUUAGUAACUUGGUACCUUCUUUCUCGCGAGUCCUCCAUCCAUCAGUGAGAGUCCCCCAACUCGAUCACUUCGAACCUGCCUACGCAGUCCAAACUCGCACUUCCUAAAAAAAAAAGGAAAUAUCCUAGGCCAUCCUUGACUGGUUCCACAAAUCCAUCCAGAGGGCUUGGGACUAUCGCUCAACAAGUCCUUAACACUGGUGGAGUACAAUAGGCUUAGGCAACAUCAUCCUCGUGAUGUCCCCACCUAGCAUCACUAUCCGUUGGAGGUACGACCUCAAACUCCAACAUCAAACAGUACUACUUAGUUUGCUUACAAUCUUAUCGAGUACACCAACAACUUAAGGCCAUUUGACAAAGUCAAUGAGCCUCAGCACGGUCCAAACACCCAAUCGUGGUUAAAUUUGAAUCACGAUAGUCGACAUACAGUCAAAAUGACCCAACUGGUCCCAUAACAAGUGAGAGGGCUUCUCCACGAAGCAAAACACUAACUAUAAAACCACCCCGCCAAUCGAGCUCACGAUUUGUGACUCGGUCGGGGACACAACGACGGAUCAAAGACAUCCUUCAUUUCAAGGAUUCUCAAUCAUCAAAAGCUAAUGGCCAAAUAGGCCCCAAAUCCUCUCCAACACUUACCCAAUUUUAGGUAAGGGAGACAGUCAACGCAACCAGCGGAAUUAAAUCCUCAAAUUGCACUAUUUCGUGCUCAAGGUCCUCAAGGCGAGUCAAGUCAGCUCGCUAUCCAAGGGUACCAGGUACCCACAACAACUCCACACCAAAAAAGGCCAAUCUAUUUGUUGGCACACAGAACCAUCUCAUAUGGUAGGGCGUUCGAAACGACACACCCGAUCAACCGAUCAUCUACACGCGCCGAAAUGUUCAACACUACAACUCCUCGGGUUGGGUCACUACAAACUCGGUGUGUCCUUGAUCUCACGAUCCAACACGUGGCUUUCCACGCUCCAGGGUCUACGCUCGGACUACCGUCCUGACCAAAACUCUGCCCUACCCGUAGGUACCAGGCCGCUGUCACACACAGCCGACUGCGCCUACCCAACGGGCCCAGGCUCCACAGUCCCCAAAUGGUCCAGGUACGGUCGUCUCCAAGCACCACUCGGCAAGCAGCCAAUCUAGGGAUGCAACUUAUGCUAUCCUCGUGAGAUCUGCAAGCAUAGCAAAACAUGCUUCCCACAACCCGCAGAUCAACCGCCUAGCUCGAUGGGCUACACAAUGUCGCAAACAGCGAACUAACAAAAUGCUAUGCAACUCGGCGAGUAGCCGAUCAUAGAUGCAAUGCACCAGUAACCAAUGAUGCACAACUCAAAUGCCACAAACGAGACUGAUACCUGUAGUCACAAACUCGGCCGCUGCUGCCUCCUCCGCCUGGGCCACGUACAGGCGCCCGCUCGGAGCCCGUUGUAGUGUUCUUGACCUUUGGAUAGGAUUGGCUUCAGUAUUAGUGACUGGUCGACAUCUCUGGAGAGUGUCGGACUGAGUCGGAGUCAAUUCUGCACGAAUUGGAUGCAGAAUUGGACUCGGCGCACUCAAAUAGGCAAAACUCAAGUUUUGCCAGAUUCGGGCGCCCAGAACAUAGUUCCGGGCGCCAUAAAUGCCCGUUUCUGCAGGGACACUGGAUAGCAGCUUGAGUUCCUGGGGCUGUCUGGAUCAUUUUAACUCUCUAUAAAUAGAUGGAAUACGCCCCUUUGCUGCUCUUUUCCUCCCUUCUUCACAGAGAAGUCCCUUUUAGCAUCUCUACCCUCGGAUUUGCCUCAAAUUGCAUCAAACUUCCAUUGAUCCAGCUUGAGAGAGUGCUGAUUCUGCAGUUCUUCAGCGGCGACCUCUAGUGUUUUGGCUCGUGCGCGACGUAGGAAGGUCGGAUUUCGACGAAACUUGGUUUUCUGGAUUCUAGACUUCCAGAGGAAUCCACGAAGCCCUGAAUUGUAGAUUUUGGUUGAGGUUAGCUUGGUCGAAUUGAGGUUUUUCUGGACUGCUGUUGGCUUUGAGCUGAAAAUGGGAUUUUUGAGUUUUUCUUGAUGUUAACUUUGUUGGCAGUGGGAUUUUGGACCUGAGAUUGUUCACCCAUUAGUAGUUGCUGGAUUUGGAUCUGUCCUCACCCGAUUUGGAGAUCAUUAGGUGAGUUUUGACAUUGGAAUGGAGAUAAUUAAGCUUAAGUGCUGAAAUUUUGAUAAAUUGAUGGUUUUUAUUGGAUUUUUGGGUGAAUUGUAAAUCCAGAUCUUGAGGGGCUUUGUUGCUGGUUUGGAGGUGUUUCCAGCAGUGUUGCUUGUGAUCCGAGACCAUCUUGCUGCCAGGAAUUGCACUAGAGGUGGGUGUAUCAUCGGUUUCGCUCCUAAGUGCAUGUUUAGUCGACGUGUAUAGUUCGAUUUUUGUAUAUCAUGCUUUAAUUCAUCGAUUAGUAUUUUGAAUGUAAUAUGAAUGUAGAAGCAUGCUGAAAUGAAUGUUUAUAUUAUACAUGUUGGACUUGAAAUUUGACUUAGGAGAAAACCUGCGUUUUGACCCGUCAUAUGCUUAAACUACCAGAUUUAGCUCUAGGAGCCGUGAUUCGAUUGUAUCGUUGCAGUAUCAGUGCGAUGGAUACCUGGGGUAGUUUAGAAAGCAUUUACGCUCGUGCUGGGGUGCCGAGCUUAUUUUUUAGCAGAGUAUAGGCUGUUUCGGGUCGUUGGGUGCCGUUCGGGUUAGCGGUGGACCCAGAUUCUUGUUUUGGUCACAGAUUGUGCCGAGGGCACGUGGGUUUGGUUUGUAGACCUGUUUUGACCCUGUUUACUUGACUUUGGCUAGUUGGAGCCUGUUUGAGCUCGACAGAGAUACGCUGCAUACUCGGUUGGGUAGUGCCCACGAGUGCCACUCCGGAGUCAGGCUUUGUGCUUUCGCGUUGGUGUCGCUCAUGCCGGUUGGACUUGCUCUCCACGGACCAGUUGUGUGGAUAGAGCCUGAUAGUUGCAACUGGGCAGGGACAGGUGUGUUCACAGUCCCAGGGACGGGUAUGUCUACAGUCCCGAUUGGAUUGGAUCAGAUUUGAUAUUUCCUACAGUUGGUUAGUGUAGAGCAUGAUAGUAUAGUGAUUCGUAGCGGUUGAGUUUAUUUCCUGCUUUUUGGCUAUUCUUGCUCCCUUCUGUAGACUUAGUGGGUGGACCGAUGUUGUUUUGGGCGGUACCCACUGAGGACUACUUGUUUUUACAGUAGUUCUCAUGCCCAGUUGUUAUCCUUGUUUUGCAGAGCCACAGGUUUCGGCUGCUGCGCCUUCCGCGGAUCAGGAUCGAGGCAAGGGCGUCGCGAGUUAGAGCCCUACACGACGUGCUGAGCUAGAGGUGCCCCUACUGCAGGUAGAUGUUUUGUUUCGAGUUUAUGUACAUAGUGGACUUAACUCGCCAGUGCGAGUAGCUUUGUAUUUUGGAUUUGGACUAUGUAUAUGAAACUCAGUUUGUUUAGCUUCUGUUUUCUCUAGUAGCUCUUUACUACUGUUCGUAGUAGUGUUUGAUUUACAGGUACAGCUAUCGCUUCGUAUACAGGGAAAAUUCCUUUGUAUACGGCGGAUUUGUCGGCGCACCCUGGGGAAAGUGUAAUCCGGGGCGUGACACCCGUCGUGACCCAUCCGUCUGUCUCUGGACCGGUGGCCUCCCGGCCUGAUAGUGGGCAGAAGACGUCCCCUGGCUGGGACCCGGUAAUACUGGUGCCGAUGCUGAAGGUGGCGCUGAUACUAAACCCCUCGAACAGUCUGACAGGAAGUGACCCUCCUGGCCACACGAGUAGCACCUGCCCUGCCUCUGUGAGCACUGCUGCGGGUAAUGACGACCACCGCAGAUCACGCAGCUCAGAGUCUGACGACGCUCGGAUCCUCUAUGCCGUGCUGAUGAGCCACGUCCUCGCGACUGGCUCCGGUUCCUGGAAUGUCUCGGCGGCCUCCCAGAGUGCGUCUGACUCGCACCCUCAGCCGCGGGCCUCUUGCCUUUUUCUUUGUUCGAGCCUUCUCGACGCUCCCGCAAGUCUGUCGCGCAGCUUUCCACGAUGAGAGCGCGGUUCACCACAUCUUGGUAAGUCUAAAGGUUGGAGGGUUGCACCAUCUGAAAGAUCGACGGCCGAAGUCCUCGCUCGAAGAUGCAAGCCUUAUCCUCGUCGUCCCGCACAACAAAGGGCGCAUAGUGUAGAAGCCGAGAGAACUCCCUCUCGUACUCGGCCACAGUCCGAUCCCCCUAGCGCAUCUCGCGCAGAUCCUACUCCAUUUUUCUCUUAACGUGGACGAGGAAGUAAUGCUCCAAUAAGAGCUCCUUGAAUCUCUUCCAAGAAAUCGCUGCUAGGUCAGUGUUGGGAUUAUCCUGGAUACCCACCCACCAGCUAUAGGCGUCGCAGUCCAAAUGGUGAGUGGCGAGCCAAACUCUAUCUCUCUCCUCCACGAAAGUGUCGUGGAAUAACUUCUCCAUGUGCAUCAACCACUUCUCAACAAUCCAGUGGUCGGCUUUCUCUCCAUCAAAGAUCCUGGGGUCGCACCUCCUGAACUCGUUGAGGCGAUCCAUGAGCCGCUGCCGCUCGGCUCCUUUAACCAUCAAGGGAAAAGUCGCCGCUGCUACAGGCACCUGAGCUGGUGGUGCUGCCAAUACCUCCUCCCGAGGGGCUACCACAAGUGUCGUCUGCGAAGGGUCGAGUACAGGGAAUGACCCCUCGGGCGCAACUGUCUCAACUGGCGCGGGUAGUACCGGGACCCGGGCCUCUCUGACAGCUGCCUGCUGCAAUAGAAGAUCCUCCAGGCGCUGCAUCCGUGCCUCCUGCCGGCGUGCCGUAUCCGCCUGCUGCUGAGCCGCCGCCGCCUGCUGCGUCACCAAAUCAGUGAGGGCGGCAAGUUGGCUCCUCAACUCACGGACCUCACCGGAUCCGGAGGUAGCGGAUGUCUCCGCUCCCUCAAAAGGCGCCGCAUCGUCCGCUCUAAUAGACUUAGAGCAUGUAGUCGGCAUCAACACUACAACAUCAUAAAAGCGCAAGUUAAUAUAACCCACGCUAUCGCAUAAAGUAAACUAAUAUAUCAGGUAAAGUCAAAAGAAAACAAUACUACUAAAGCAUAAAGUAAACUAAUAUAUCAUAAAUCUCAAGAUACAAAAAUAGGGUGGUCUCUAUAACGAGGUACAAAACUCUCACAACCUCUCCAAAGAAAACAGAAGAGAGAUGGACCACCUAUCGCCAAAUCCCUCGAUAGCUAGCUCGAGGCAAAACCUUUCCCGCGAUCCCGAGCCUCUCCCGAAGUGGAAGGCUCUGAAAGAAAACAUAAAACAGGGAGCGUGAGAACUAUAAAUUAUAGUUCCCAGUGGACAAUUACUGACCUGCACCAACUGCACCACUAGGCCCAAAAGAGAGCAGAUAAGGUUAAUAGAAAUUAACUGCGGUAAAUAAAGCAUAAAGAUAAAAUGCUACACUAUUAUGCCACAAGUAUGUAAAAUGUCAACAUGGAGUACAUCUACUCUACAUGAUCCAGUAUGCCGAUACUUAAACAAGUAUGCUAUGAUGCAACAAAUAAUACUAUGAAGUAUAAUAAAUGCCCCAAAGCCAACUACAUAUCGAGUAUGUACUAUCAUGGCAACCAAGUAUACUACAAUGCAACGAGCGAUACCGUCAAAUAUACUAUAUAUCUCAAUGCCCAACCCUAUGCCAUAGCAUGUCAAGAAAUCCAACUACUAUAACCUGUCUAGUAGUGAUUAUGAACUUGUUGUUUAAUAUUCGGAUUCAAUCUCAUUUAGGACCUACACAGUUGUGGUCUGGCUUGUGCUGCCUAAGUGCCAGUGAUAGCUCCAGCAUUCCCACUCUAGGAAUGAGUCUAACCCUCCAGGCCCCGUAGGCUACUCGAUACCGCACAAGCAAACAUAAGUUGCGUAGGCUAACUCCGGAGUGCCGGCUUGUAGGGAGCGACCGGUACAAGCAUGUGUGAAUGAGCACAAAUGUCAAACAAGCAUGGUCAUCGUCUCAAGUACCCAAUCAUCAUGUCUCUAACAUGGUAACAGUCACUAGCAACCCAAAGGUCUAGUACUAUGUCUCAAUGUGAAGGUUUAACCAUUCAAUAGUUUUCAGGUCAAUGAGCUUAGCUUUACUAAGUCCAAAUCGCAAGAUGAUGUUCCAACAUUCACUAUGUUUGGUGCCUCUUUAUGACACUUAAACAUUUUUAUAAUCCAAGCACAUUACACAUUCUAUAUCUCUUUAUGACAUUAGCUUGUACUAUCAAUAAUAGGUUAAUACACAUGCUCUCUAGCGUGUUCUCAGAUCACUACAUGCAGGUUCUUCCCAAUGCAACUAUCAACUUUGCAUAAUUCUCAUAAUAAUAUUAUGCACAUACCAUUCACAUAUCCAUCAAGUCUAAUGCCGCUUUAUGACAUUAGCUUGCUAAGUCCAUUUCUAGUCCAAGCCUAAUGCCACUUUAUGACAUUAGCUUACUAUUUGUAUACACUCCAGUCUAUGUCACUUCAAUGAUAAUAUGUCUAACCAUGUCAAGCAUGCGUUCUAAGUCCAAGAGUGUAAUCUAUAUGCCAUAUGCACCAUAUGCAACAUGAUCUCAAACCAAUAUUAGAAUGCUAAUCAUAUGCAAAGUUUCAAGUUUGAACAGUUCUCUACUAUAUAGAGGGCCACUAUACUUUAUACAUAGUAUGCACAUAUUAAGCAUUCUAAAAUUCUCAAAUAUUCCAUCUAGUAAGAAUAUGCAUGCUUUUUCAUUUUAUAACACUUAAAUCAUCAACAAUGAGAUUUUCUCAUUGUGUGGCUAGGUCAAACCCACCGAACCAUCGCGUAGUCCUUCCUUUCGCCGAACGGAGUUGUCCACGAGUCUCAAAAUACCCUAAAGGUAAUGAGCGAAGGGAUACACAAGUAUUACGAACAACUAUAAGAUCAAACAUUAACCAUCAAGGCAAAAGGGCUAAAAUCUCACCUAUGGAGUAGAAAAUCUUUCCCAAGCUCCAAAAAAGAGCUAAAUCCCUUUCAAUCCAACCCAAAGGAAGAUUCUAAUCCAAUCAAUUGAGCUCCAAAAGCCCUAGAUCAAAAAUCCCAAAACAAAUCCUAAAUCCUCAUUUCUAGGGUUUCUGUACAAAAAUCAUGAAAAUCAUGAAAUAAAGGAAAAUAGUAAGCAACUAACCUCUAAUGAAGCCUCAAACAAGGUUCAAAAUCCACAAGGGUCGAAGAUCUCACCUCCAAUGAGCUCAACUCCAAGCUCCCAAGCUUCUCCCAUGGUGGAAAAGUCACCAAAAGGCAAAAAUAGAGCAAAAGUAAAUAAAAAAAAAACUUUUGAAGUUGAAGGAUCAAUUUUAAUAUGACUUAUAGAUGAUGAGUUACUAUAUAUUUUUAUCCUAAUGAAACUCUAGCUGCCUCUCUUACUCAUUACUUUUUUUCUAAUUUUUUUACUCUUUGUUUUUUACUCUUUUUAUUUUCAUUUUAUUUCCGCCAACAAUAUUUCAUUGUCAACAAUAUAGUUUGUCUAUUGACUAUUUAAUAAAAUUUAUAAAAAAUAUAUAUUUAUACGGAUAUCCGUACCCGAUGUAGACCCGAUCCAUAUCCGGUCUUGAACGGGUAGUAUACGGGUCGUCACUAUUCAGACCCGCUCAAAUAGAUCCAAUGGGUAUAUUAGUAACUUUAGUACCCGACCCGGACCCGGCCCGAAGUUAAAUGGGUAGGGUAUAUAUAUUUUUUUGUAACCAUUUCUUUUUAGUGUAUGGAUAUAGUAUAUUAAUUAUCCAAACCCGACCCGGUUCACGGAUAUCUUUAUGUCCAAGCUUGGCGGGGUUAUGGAGCGACAGGUGUUGCGGACACGCGUCCGCCUGACCGCCCCGGUUGCCGGUCCACUUCCACCCCCCGGGGCCCCGAAGAACACAACAUAGUUAGUUAAUUCGCGAAUUAUUCGCGAAUAAUUCGCGAAUUUUUGAAAAAGCCGAAUAAAACAGCCGUUUUCAUGUUUUUUUCAAAAAUUCGGGAAAAUUCGUGUUUUUUUUUGGCUAAAAAUAAUUAUUCACGAAUUAAACGCGAUUUGCGAAUAAUUCGGCCCAACAGCCCGGUUGCAGGUUGCUGUGAGCCUGCGACGCAGAGUAGCGGAGUCGGACUCGGGCCUCGCGGGUGGCCCAAAAGAGGAAAAAAAAUCAUUUCUGUGUCUGUCGCCCAAAAGGCCAAAAAAGAAACAAAAAAAAAUCCUCUCUUUCAGACUGGCCCCCCACCCGCCCCCCCCAACCCACGAGUCCCACUCCUAUCCAUAGUUAGUUAAUUUGCGAAUUAUUCGCAAAUUAUUCGAGAAUUUUUAAAAUUCCGAAUAAAACGUCCGUUUUCAAAUUUUUGAAAAAAUUUUGAAAAAAAUUACGUUUUAUUGGAUAAAAGUAAUUAUUCGCGAAUUAAACGCGAUUCGCGAAUAAUUCCGCUCAAAAAAAACGCCGCCGUUGCUGCGGUCGCGGGCCUCGCGCAUGGCCCAAAACAGAAAAGAGUUCGCAACUCAAAAAAAAAACCCUUCUCUGAAAUCGCCCCCUCCCAGUCUCCCAGACUCCCAGCCCCAGCCCCAUCCCUCCCAAAAAAGGGUUUGCCCUAACUUCUCACCCCUGCGGCGGUGCGGCCCUGCCACCGACCCGUGCGGCGGUCGCGGUCCCUUCCCCUCCCCCUCUUCCCUUCCGGCUGCUCGCCGAACGCAAUCGGAAGCCCCCCUCUUCAGAAAUCGAAGAUCGAGUUCUUCACUCUUCAGAAAUCGAAACCCUCCCCGUCGCCUCUUCCUCUUCCGCUUCCGCUAUCCAACGAUAUAUAGAUCAGUAAUAAGGUGGUUCUUUACAAACCAAGUACGAUUUGAGUUUUCAUUCUUUAAAGCAAAAGUUGGAAGCUUUUAGUCCAUCUGAUGGAUACUUUUUUAUACACAAAUGGCUCGAGUGCUUAAAUUGAAUGUGUCCAUUCUCUGUUCAUCGCACCUAAUUGUUAAGAACUAAAGACCCAAACAUAGAGCUAAAUAAUGUAUUAACCUAGGGACACGGAACUCUUGUAUUAUACCUAAUCAAUUUCAUGAUCUUGUCGACACUUGCAAAAGAAAAUUUGUUGUGUGGUCUUUCAUGGAAAAUUUUGUUGUGGUUAAAUCAGAGUCGGAGUUCGCUGAUUAUAAUUACUAAAACUUUCUGUGUUUGUAUGCUCUAUAUUUUAUUCAAGCUUUUAUGUAUGUUUAUAUGUGGAAUUAUGAACUUUAUGUAUUUUUAUUUGUUUACUGUUUAGACUUUAGAAUUUAGAUAUGCUAGUAUGCUGUUAUGCACUAUGCAAAGUGCCUGUUUCUCUUGGAUUUAAUUUCUAACUAUGCUUGUAUGUGAAUCUUUUUAUAUUUACAUUUAAAUAUGGACUAUCUUGAUCUCUUAUUUGCUUAAUUAUUUUUUUUUUUUUAGGCAUAAUAUAGUUUGUUAUUUUUUUUAGUUAAUUAGUUUAAUUUUGUAGUUCUUUAUUUUUAUAUUCUUAAAAAAUAUGAGUAUUUAUGCUAAUAAUAUAAAUCUUGAGAGAAAAAAACUUAAUUUAAUAGCCGAAUUUUUAAUCCCGAAUUUUUAAUUGGUGAACGUAUAAUAUCUGUAUAAAUCACGUAUCCGAAUAAUUACUGAAUCUGUUUUUUAACCGUAUUUUUCAACGAAUUUAAAAAUUCGAAGACGAAUUUUAUCCGAAUUAUACCCGUACCGAAUUUUUGCCGAAUCCGAAUUAACUAACUAUGCUCCUACCCCGACCCCUCCCAGUCCCAAAAAAGGGUUGCCCUAACCCUCCUCGUCGCCUCUUCCUCUUCCUCCGCUUCCAACGAUAGAUCAGUAAUCGAUCGGGUGGUUCUUUACAAACCAGGUGCGAUUUGAGUUUCCAUUCUAAAAAACAAAAGUUGGAAGCUUUUAGUCCAUCUGAUGGAUACUUUUUUUAUACACAAAUGGCUCGAGUGCUUAAAUUGAAUGUGUGUCCAUUCUCUGUUAUGCCCAAACAUAGAAGACCCAAACAUGGAGCUAGAUAUAAUCUUAAUUAACUUAGGGACCAGGUGUCCAUUCUCUGUUAUUCUCUGUUAUGUGGAAUAGUGAACUUUAUGUAUCUUUUAUUUAUUUAUUGUUUAGACUUUAGAAUUUAGAUAGGCUAGUAUGCAGUUAUGCACUAUGUAAAGUGCUAGUUUCAUCUUGUAUUUACUUUCUAACUAUGCUUGUAUGUGAACGUUUUAUAUUUUACAUUUAAGUAUGGUCUAUCUUGAUCUCUUAUUUGCUUAAUUAUUUCUUUAUUUUGAGGCAUUAUAUAUGUUACGUUUUUUUUUUUACUUAAUUAGUUUAAUUUUGUAGCUCUUUAUUCGUAUAUUCUUAAAAAAUAUAAGUAUUUAUGCUAAUAGUAUAAAUCUUGAGAGCNAAGACCCAAACAUAGAGCUAACUAAUCUUAAUUAACUUAGGGACCAGGUGUCCAUUCUCUGUUAUGCACAAAGAAGACCCAAACAUAGAGCUAAUUAACUUAGGGACCAGGUGUCCAUUCUCUGUUAUUCUCUGUUAUGUGGAAUAGUGAACUUUAUGUAUCUUUUAUUUAUUUAUUGUUUAGACUUUAGAAUUUAGAUAGGCUAGUAUGCAGUUAUGCACUAUGUAAAGUGCCAGUUUCAUCUUGUAUUUACUUUCUAACUAUGCUUGUAUGUGAACCUUUUAUAUUUUACAUUUAAGUAUGGUCUAUCUUGAUCUCUUAUUUGCUUAAUUAUUUCUUUAUUUUGAGGCAUUAUAUAGUUUACGUUUUUUUUUUUACUUAAUUAGUUUAAUUUUGUAGCUCUUUAUUCGUAUAUUCUUAAAAAAUAUAAGUAUUUAUGCUAAUAGUAUAAAUCUUGAGAGGAAAAAAACUUAAUUUAAUAGCCGAAUUUUUAAUUGGUGAACGUAUAAUAUCCGUAUAAAUCACGUAUCCGAAUAAUUGGCGAAUCCGGUUUUUUAGCCAUUUUUUUCAACGAAUUUAAAAAUUAGAAGACAAAUUUUAUCCGAAUUAUAUCCGUACCGAAUUUUUGCCGAAUCCGAAUUAACUAACUAUGGAACACAAACGCAAAGUAGAGAAAAGAAAAAGGAAAAGAGAAAGAAAUAAGAAAAUGCCUCCUUUUACCUCCUCCUGGCGCCUCCGCACUCCGAUCUCAACCCUUUCCCACCGCUUCCGCGCCGCGCUGCCCAGACUCCUCUCCUCCGGGGCCCAGCAGCCCUCGUCGUCGUCGGCGGCGGUGGGCCCCCUGUCCUGCCGCCUGGGUUCCCGCUCUGUAGUCCGAUUUCGCGGGCCCGACGCCGCCAAGUUCCUGCAGGGCCUCCUCACCAAUGACGUCCGCCCUCUCGCUGUUCCGCCCGCCGCCGCAGUUGGAAGCGACGAGUCUUCCACCCACUUUCCCACGCCCAAUGUCUCUCUCUACCACUCUCCCCCUAUCUACGCCGCCCUGCUCACGCCGCAUGGCAGGUUCCUCUACGACCUCUUCCUCUAUCGCCCGCCUCCCGCCGAUCACAAGCUCGACCGGACCGGCUCUGGGCCUGGAAAGGGCGAUCCCCACGACCCGCUCACUUUGCUCGCCGACGUCGAUGCGGUCGUCCUGGACGAGCUCUUGGAUUGCUUCAACAAGUAAGGCGCCUAAAUCCUAGUUAGAAUUAUUUUCUUUUCUGGUUCCAUAGCUUCGACUUCUUUAUUCCCGCGCUGAGUUUUCCUAUUUUAUUUUCUGGUGCUAAUCCUAAGCGACACAUUAGCUUUUAUGUAAAUUGGAAACUGCAAAUUAGUAAUAAACAAGGUCGAUAGGACUUGGAUAGUUUUAAAUCCGAGGCCUGAGUCAGUGAAAUACAAAAGGCAGCGCUACAAGUGAGGGGAAAUGAUGUCCAGAAAUUCACAAAGACGGAUUAGUAUUGAUGGCUAUAUGAGUCAAAACUUGUUCUCUUGUGUCCUGUAAUAUUGAGAGAGUACCACAUCCCAGUAUCUGAUAAUAUGGAAAAAGCGGACGAGUAUAUUUCUGAAAUCUUAAUAUCUACUAUAUUUUUGACAAUCUAGAGAGAUCCUACUGUUCAACCCAUUUUAUGCGCAGUUGGUAGCAUUUGGUAGAAAUUUGCAUCUCAUUUGAGUAGCAGAACUUGACAUAUGACACUUCCUGAUUUGACCAUACAAUAUUUCAUUGCUCUAAGUUAAUGCUGAUUUUAUUCCCAUACAUGUUUUGCAGAUAUAGGCUCCGGUCCAAGGUUGACAUAGAGAACGUGAGCAAGGAAUUUGCUUGUUGGCAGAGAUUUGGUGGUAACCUAUCUAACGCUGCACCAUCAACUCAAGAACCUGAAGCUGCAUCUGUUGGUUGGGGAACAGGCAUCGAUCAUGCUGCUGAAUCAUCCGCACAGGGAAAUAGUAUUGGUUGGAAAUGGUGCAAAGAUCCUAGGUUGGAUUGCUUGGGAUAUAGGGGAAUCUUCCCAUCUAACACAAUUCGUAAGAGACUGCACUCAUAAGGUCUUUUAACGUUUAUGCAUCUCCACCUAUUAAAUUAUACCCCUGUAAAAUAUGAAUUUCAUAUAUGACACCAAAAUUGCUAUUUCUUAUGAAGGCUUUCUUUUCUGCCGAGAAGGUCGGGGGGUAAGCUUAAGUUUACUUUCUAAAGCUGGAUACUUCUGCAAGUACAAAUUAUAUAUGUUAGGAAGUAUGUUUUUGAGGAGCAUACAUUGAAUUUCAGAUUUUAUAAGGGCAUAUAUAUAAAAACAGAAUCUCGUGUUCGUUUUAUUCAUAGUAGGACUUGUUGGCACCUAGGAUUGGAUCAGAUUGGCUAAGUUAAGAGUAUUUCAUUGGGUAGAUUCGGCAACUUGGGGGGUGCCAAGAGUAGCGAGAGGAAUCUGGUUGAGUUAAAUACCCAGUGGAGUGGAAUGGGAUUACUGGAUCCCACCAAGCGGCUAGGAGUGAAAAGGGCUGCAUUUGGAAAUUCAUUUCUAUCCCAUGGGCGGCGCCUCCAAUUGUUGUGACCUCCAGUGCCUUUUUGAGUUUUGAGUUGCUAAAUGCUCCCUCUCCCUUCAACGUUGCACUUUCAGCUUUGCCUAUCCAAUCAAUCUAGGUGCCGGCCGGGGCCACCAGUUGCACUGGCGUUCAACAAUGGAUGCUUCAAUUUGGUAUAUGAACUAGAAAUCUAGAAGUUCAUUAUAUAUUUAUAUCUGUUGCUUUCUUUCUUCUACAGCACCAUUAGUUGAAUCCGACAAAGAAGCAGAUGAAAGACAUUACCUUCUAUGGCGAUUACAGCAAGGAGUUGCUGAAGGUUCGACUGAGAUACCAAAAGGUGUGGUUAAUCAAAUUUCAGAAUGAUUUUAUUGUGCCUUCUUCUAGGUGACUAUAUACCUACAAAUUAUAUAUAAUGAUAGAACAGAACCCAGAAAAUCAAGAUUCUAAUGCUGCGUAUAGUUUUCUGUUGGAAUUCUAUGACAAAGUUUUCAUUGAGAUUUCAUUACUCUUCCAAAUUGUUGUGUUCACAUGUUCAAUCUAGGUAUGCAUUUUUGUUUAGGUUUUAUGUAUAAGUGGAAACUUGAUUAUGACAAUAUGAAUUAAGUGUACUUGACAUUACAAAAUAAUCAAAUACAAGGUUGAACUCGGUUCAACUCAAUUUGUUGAUUUUGUUGGUAAGUACUGAAUAGCCGAUACAGAAGUAACUAGUUGUUUGUUCAUACUAUUUAGGAGAAUGGUAUUACUAGACUAGUUUAGAUUUAAGCAUUUCCAGCUACAUUAAUUAAGAAUAGUAGAGAUGUUACCUAGUGGUUGGUUUUUAGUUUUUUAUUGUUUAUGAGAAAAGGCAAUGACUAGAAAAUUGUGUUUGGUCCCAUUAUCUGUUUAAAUAUUUAUUCCAAAAUACCGGAAAACUUGGUACUCACAUAAAUAUAUUUUAGAUUAGUGGAGUAUGGUUUGAGUUGCUUUUUGGGGCCAGACUCGAUUUGAAAUAAAGCAGCUAUGCUAGUCUUUCAAGGUAUAAAAUGUUCUACUAAUAAACCCUAUACAUGUUUCAUUUUGGUGGGAACUUGUUUGAUUUGGUUAGGAGCGGGUUCUCUUAUAGAAAAUUGAGAUAGAUUGAGAUUAGUCAGAUUUCACCUACAUAACCAAGACUGAGACGGUCAUUAGAAAAAGUGUCCUGAGCCAAAACAAAUGAUUCACUUUCAUUUCCUGACUCAUCGGUUAUAUCCCUACAUUUGCUGUAAUGUUUGUGUGCUCGUGAUUAAGUGUGCAUUCUUUCACAUGUAUGAAUAUUUGUCUACUUGUGCUAGUGCGUGUACAUGCAUAUGUGCUGUCCACAUGUAUCUCUGUGUUGUUCACAACCAUGUGCUUGUGUGCACAUUUGGCCUAGGCAUUGGUUUAUAUCGAUCUACUCUCGAGGAUUCGAAUGCUGUCUCGGAGUGUAAGGAUGGAGUGAAGUACUGAAGUCAAUAAAGAAGUUGUAGAUUCGUAAGAUCAUGAUAGUCUCUCCGCGUGCUAUAGUGCUACAAAAGAUUUAAGUGCAUGGUGUGCAUGUGUAUGCGGGAGGCAUGUUAUAGUUUUUUCUCAACAUGCACCACUUGUGGACUUGUCUGUUUUUGUUGGCAGUUGCAUGAUUUUUUUUGUUUGGUUCUUUCGAAAUUUGAACUUUUUGGCUUCUGCGAGAGUCAAUAGUAAUGGAGUUGACAUUGAUGUAUACUAGGACUAGGAGCUUAUUCAAUCUAGCUUCUGUUAAUACGAGUUAGCCAUUCUCAUCUCUUUUGGUCUUUUUUCAAUGCCUUGCUCUUAUUUCUUGUGAAACAAUAACUUUUGGUUGAAAUAUAUAAGUUGUUUUGCCCAGUCAUUAACUUACGUUAGGCGGAUAUGAUGCAUUUGCAAGAUUAACAGUGUAGAAUAAUUCAAAUCCAGUGAAAUUUGAUAGAAAUUUUUUUUCACUAAAAAUUAGAGUAAAUUUAGUAUCUCUAAUAUGAAAUUUAAGUCUUUUCUCAUUAUUUUUUAUGAUAUUUUUAUUUUCAGUCGUUAAUUUUGUCUCUAAUAUGAAAUUUAAGUCUUUUCUCAUUAUUUUUUAUGAUAUUUUUAUUUUCAGUCGUUAAUUUUGAGACUUUGUUUUAAAUGUAAAUGAGGUUGAAAAAUCAUAAAAAUUUAUUUUAGAUACUUCAAAACUCUAGAUUAAGUCUAACAGAGUCAAUCGUUGAUUCGAGUGUCCUAUCAUCGAAAACAAUUUGGUACACUAGAUCUUCAAUUUUUACGAGAGUACAAUUUUGACCGUUACACAUUUGAUGGACUUCAUUAUAAAUUUAGAAAAUUGCAACAUUUGGUUUUUAGAUACUAUAGAUACUCUAGAUCAUGUGCAAUAGUAUGUGUCGUUGAUUCGGAAGCUCCAUCAUUGGACUUAUGAAUAUGAAGGUCUCUGUAUUGCACACAGUCAUACACACAUAUAUACACACGCACGUGCAUAUAUACACACAUAUAUACAUAUACGUAUAUACACACACAUGUACAUAUUUAAAUAGACGCACACUCCCAUGCACAUGCGGAUGCAUACACACACACACACACACAAUAGGGCUACUAUACUCUUAUGAGUAUAGAAUCGUUCAUUCUUUUGCAGUCACAUGCAAAUGUUCAAGGGUCACGGUUCAACAACCUCACUAUUUUUUUAAAAUUGACUAAAUCUAUCUAUGCUAUCAACCAUCCUAAGUGUCAUGACAGUAUUGUUUAAGUAGUAGCCCAAUUACCUUUUGUUUACAACCUAUGUUAGAUGCACUAUGUUCAAUACUUACAUACGCAUGUCAAAUUCUCUAAGUUAUCUCUAUAGAAUGUUAUUUGUCUCAUAGUUCAAUAACGUCGGUGAAUAGGUUAUGUCCAAACAUAUUGACAACAUAUGAGAUUCUCUCGCACCUUGGUAGCUAAUUCACCUCAAGAAAGGUGUGUUUCACACAAGAAUGCUCGUGUAUGCACAUUUACUAGAAAAAUUACCAUUUAUACUUAUCCGUUCAACAUGAUAUUAGUCCUCAGAUAUGGAAAGUGACCAAUCCACUUUGGUACCCAUCUCGUUUCGUCAUUAAUUGAUAAGAAAAUCAAGAACUAGGAAAUUGUGGACGAAUCGCCCUGCUUCCAAGCCAAUCCGCCAAAAACCUUCAAAAUCGGCCUGAAUUGUCCAAUCGGACGUUGUAACCUUGUUGUAAUUCAAAUCUUUGUUGUCUUCCAAGUCAAUCUUCUCUCUAAUUAGAGUUUUCAAGUGUUAGAUGGAUUUUAAACUCAAGGUGCAAAAACAGCAAUUUUGAUCCAGGUUUCUAAUUUGUCUCAACAAAAUCCUUCAUUCAUAGCAAAUCUCUAAAUAUUAUAAUAUAGAUUCACCUAGAUUCUUCUGCUGAGCCACUGUGCAUGUGUCCAUGCAAAAGUCAAAUCAUUUAUCAAAUUUCCUUCGGGCUGCAAAUACUGACUUCGGGCGUCCGGUUCUAGGAUUUGAAUCAACAUUAGUGCCUGUAUGCCACUUUAGGGCACCAUAAUCCCUUUCCCGGCGUCCGAAAGACCUUAAAACUUUAGUUUCAAUAGUGAGUCCGUUUUUGUGCUGUUUUCAAAUUAUUUUUGAUGAUGGAACUUUCCAAUCGAUGGUCAGCACCAUUUGAUUUGAUUCAAUUAUUAAUUUUUUGGCAUUAUUUAUAUCAUGAUCAAAAGAUCAUGAAAUUGACCAUUUUUAACGGCUGGUAUGGAAUGCUUGCUAGUUUAACGGCGUAAAAGAAAUGGAAUCGGUUGAAUUUUUAAUAGAAAAUGUUAUUCACUAUCUAGAUAAAGACUAAUAACUUCGAUCUUAAAUUGCAAAAUAGUACAUUAAUAAUUUUUGGCAAAUAAAAAAAGGUAGUUGGACGAGUUACUUAUUGUGCCACAUCCUUGUAUUAGUCCUCUGCCCAGAUUAUAGAUGGACCUGUAAGAUGUGAGUGAGAACUAUAAUCAUAGUUUCCAGUAGGUAUGCCCAUCUAAAGGGCAGGCUCGAUCCACCAAAUCUAAAGAAGGCAUAAUAUAAAAGGAGUGAGUAUAUAACUAAUAAAAAGUACUUUACAUAUAUAUGACCACUAUAUGCGAAAAGAAAGUGACGACUAUUAUGCCAUAAAUUGAAAGAUCAAGAUCCUUACUUUGUUUUCGACAUCUCUCACUAUAGAGGGUAUGCAGUUCACCUACCGAGAGAGCUCCCUCUUGUACUGGUAUAUAGGGGUGAACCGGAAUACUUAUGAUAAGUAUUAGCCUUUCUUGUAACUCUUUCACCUUUGGAUCAACACCUUUGACCACUAGUCUUGGAUUAAUACGAUUCCACCAAUCACUACUAAACUCGUGCUGGGCCACCAUCAUCCCAACCCCGUAAUUUUUUAUCCAAGGGCUACAAACCUAAAAAGUAAAAAAUCCCAAAUACUUCUAAAAGUCCACAAUCUUUUAUCCAAGGGAUACAAAGCUAAAGUAAAAAAGCCCAAAUACUUCGAAACGUAUUUCUAGCUCAAUUAUAUAUAUAUAUAUAUAUAUAUAUAUAUAUAUAUAUAUAUAGAAUUAGGCUACUAUACUAUCUAUAGUACCGAGCUUCGGUACUAUAGUGUUUGUUUUCGAUCUUAGGGCGUUCAAAUCAACGAUCCACACCGUUAAAUAUGAUCUAGGGUAUAUGAAUUUCUUAGGAAUAAAAUUUUAGUUUUUUUCGAUAUCGUUUACUUANAAGGGAGCCGAUCGUCGAUUUGGAAGCCGCAUCAUUGAAAACAACUUGGUAGCACGGAGGCCUCCGUGCUACCGAUAGUAUACUAGCCUAGCUCUAUAUGUAUAUAUAUAUUUAUAUAGAAUUAGGCUACUAUACUAUCUAUAGUACCGAGCUUCGGUACUAUAGUGUUUGUUUUCGAUCUUAGGGCGUUCAAAUCAACGAUCCACACCGUUAAAUAUGAUCUAGGGUAUAAGAAUGUCUUAGGAAUAAAAUUUUAGUUUUUUUCGAUAUCGUUUACUUAGUAAAUAAAUUAUAUCAAAAUGGACGGUGAAAAUUGAAUAAUCUUUAAAAUUUGAGUAUAUGACUUUUAAAUUCAAGAUCAAGAAUGUUAACCUUAAUCUAUAUAGUUUAAAGUAUUUUCUAUCAAAAUUUGAAUAAAUUUAGAUUCUUCUACACCGUUAAACUCCAAACUUGUCAUAAUAGCCAUUGAAAAUUGACAAUUUUGAAAUAGUUUGAUCAUAAAGUAAACUAUGUCGAAAAAAUAUAAAAUUUUAUUUCUAGAAACUUUAAAUACUCUAGAUCAGUUUUAACGGUGUGGAUCGUUGAUUUGAACGCCCUAAGAUCGAAAACCAACAUUAUAGUACCGGAGCUCGGUACUAUAGAUAGUAUAGUAGCCUAGCUCUAUAUAUAUAUAUAUAUAUAUAUAUAUAUAUAUAUAGAGUUGAGCUAGAAUUCUAUCCAUAGCAAACGAGCUCCGUUGCCACCCAUUUGUUUUCGAUGAUGGAGCUUCCAAAUCGAUGAUCAACACCGUUGAUCAUGAUCUAUACUACUUGAAGUGUUUAGAAAUCAAAUUUCAUACAUUUUCGAUAUUGUUCUCUUAUCCAUCAAGUGGACACAAAAAUGAACGGCUGAAAAUGAAUAUUCUUUAAAAAAUGAUGAUAGGAGUCUUGUAAUCAAGAUCAAGAGUAUAGAUCUUGUUUUAAAGAGUUUAAAGAAUUUUCUAACAAAAAUUCAAUUGAUUUCGAUAUCUUUACGCCGUUAAACGAGAAAACGCUUCAUAUCAACCAUUAAAAUUACAAAUUUUGAAAUCCUUUGAUCAUUAAGCAAAUGAUGUCGAAAAGAUUUGAAAUUUGAUUUCUAAACACUUCAAGCGAUAUAGAUCAUGUUCAACGGUUCCGAUCGUCAAUUUGGAGGCUCCAUCAUCGAAAACAAGUGGGUGGCAACGGAGCCUGUUUGCUAUCAAUAGUAUUCUAGCUCAACUCUCUACAUAUAUAUAUAUAUGUAUGUAUAUGUAUAUGUAUGUAUAUGUAUGUAUAUGUAUAUAUGUUUGUAUAUGUAUGUAUGUAUGUAUGUACAUAAAUAUGUAUGUAUAUACAUAUAUGUAUGUAUGUAUAUACAUAAAUAUGUAUGUAUAUACAUAUAUAUAUACAUGUAUAUACAUAUAUGUAUGUAUAUACAUGUAUAUACAUAUAUGUAUGUAUAUACAUGUAUAUACAUAUAUAUAUAUAUAUAUAGAGCUAGGCUCCUAUGCUUUCGAAAGUACGGAGGCCUCCAUGCUUGUAAGUUGUUUUCGAUGAUGGGGCAUUCGAUUCGGCGAUCAGUUUCGUUAGACAUGAUCUACGCUAUUAGAACUACCUAGAAACCGGAUGUAUUGGUCUUAUUCUUGAUAGUUAAGUAGAAUUUUCUAUUAAAUUUUCAUUUCAUUUGGAUUGUUUUACACCGUUGAACUUACAAACGUGCCACAUCGGCCGUUAAAAUUGUCAUUUUUGAGAUCUUUUGAUCGCUUGUUAAAUGAUGUCAAAAAAUACUUUCAAUAGUGUAGAUCAAGUCUAACGGAGCCGAUCGUCGAUUUGAAAGCCGCAUCAUCGAAAACAACUUGGUAGCACGGAACGCUCCGUGCUACCGAUAGCAUAGUAGCCGGAUUCUAUAUAUAUAUAUAUAUGUAUAUAUAUGUAUAUAUAUAUAUGAACUUUAAAUACUUGCAACUAUGUCUUUGGAAUAGUCAAAAGAUGCUAUAUCCGCAAGAGCCAUCUUUAGAAUCUCAUAUUGCAUGGUAAUUUUCGUUUAUAUGUGUGAUUGGGUUUAAAUUUCACGACAAUGUUAGGGUCUCACAGAUGGUGUUUGUAGCGCCCCAAUAGUCCUACAUCGGAUAAAAAAGGGAUUAUGACUGGGUAUAUAAGGAUUAGAGACCUAAGUAAUGAUAAUUGGGCUCUAGCAUUUUGUGCCCAACGAGUUAUUAGUGCUAGCGGGUCGGAUCAUUACUUUUAGUAUCAGAGGCAAUCAUCAGCCGGAGUUGAUCCAGGGUUGUACAGGAGGUAGGGAGAUGAGUCUCACGUUGCUUGGUGCUUGUGAGCGUGCCUGAGCCUGACAAGGACGUCAGGCUUAAACGGAAGGCAUCGGGGCUUAAAGGUAGUAGGAGGAAUGCGACACCCCAGAAUUUGGAAUAGUCUUAUAUAAAGGGUAUAAUAGGACUAAAUCUCUUGAUCCGGCAUUGGGUGGUGGCUAGGCCCAAGAUGUUAAAUAAGUCAUUGCAGGAUUAGCUAUUUGUUUUGUUAGUAUCCACAUCUCUUGUAUUGUACAAGAAGUUCACAAUUAUUUGAUGGUAAUUAUAUAAACUGCUAUACUAAAAUAUGUAUAUAAGGCACUUGUUUUUCGCAAGAGCAUUAAUUAAGUUUUUUCAUGGUGAUAUCUUAAGCUAGAGAUAAAAAGAGGACAAAUGUACGGUUUUCUUUCUCACAAAAAACAUUAGUAAAGUCUUAGGACCUUUAAAACAUGGAUGUAUUCCAAACGACUGAUGUUAUAACCUCAUUCAAUGUAGGACGAGCAUGUGUAUAUGCUAUGCUCAGAUUAAACUGAAGAAAAACUUGACGCAGAGGAGACAUGGGUCGUCUACUCGACGUGGAUGCAGAUCAUUGUGCGAAUUCUCUGCAGAAAAAGAAAAGUUUUUUAGUACUCUUGUUAGAUUACUGAGGAUCAUUAAGAGGAUUUCGCAGAUCCUUUGCUAUAUUUCAACUGUUUACUUUUACCUGUUAAAAGAUUUUAUUUUAUUUUAUUUUAUUUUAUUUCUCAAAAGGAUGAUAAGAGAAUUUUAGAUAAAUUCUAUAGAACUCUCUUUCUCUUCUUCUCUCUUAUAGAACUACCUCUCUUUUUCUUCCACCCCCCCACCCCCUCGACUCAUAAUCAAGAAGUAGGCUUUGAAAUUUUUAUUACUUUUUAGUCAACCUCUCAUUUUAUUUUAAUGGAUAGUUAAUAUAAAUUAAUAUAUUAAAAUAUUAGUCUUAUCUGUUAUGACCCUGUCGUGCUUGUGUUUUAUUUUUCGAAGUUCUCAAGUUGUUGUGUCCGAGUCAUGUCGUUUCUCAUGUUCCGUGUCGUGUCCGUGCCUGUGCAUUCUUGGUUAGGAUCUCCACAGACUGGUAAAGAAAUAGAUGACGACGAGUGGGCUACUAGAUUAAUACAUUAGAGACGAGCGAGAAGAAAGAAGUGAAAAGAGAGGAGAAAGUUACUUCGGAACUUGGUUUGGCAAUCAGGAGUUCUCUUCACACUUUCAUUAAAUACAUUGCCUUUGGUUGGCCUGUUUCAAAAUUCUUGUGCUGUAGUUCUAAAGCAUCUUGGAUUCUUAUUAAUAGAGGGAAAUCCAAUUUGAUAAAAUUAUAUUUGAUGCGCUUGUCAGAUCAUUAAUUAACAGUAUAAUUGGCUUCUUUGCACCAAUAAUCUUUUGGUCCUUACACCUCUUUUAGUAUUACAUGUCUGUAUUACAUGUCUGGUUUUAUGAACUUUGAUUAAAAUUAAAAGUUUUAAACUUCUCUUGACAGCCAAGCUAAGAAAUGGAUGAAGAGUAUUUAAAUUGUGUAAAUAUUCAGACCAUAGUUACUAGGAUUGCAGACUCUCCCCUUCAAACCGUGAUUUGGACUGCAUAUUUUGAUUUAGGGUGGAUUCUCAAUCCGGUUUGCAAAAAGUGGUGAAUCGAGAAUAGUAAAGAAGUACUUUGAUUUUCUAGAUCUAAUUUGUUAGGAUAUGUAAAGUGUUUUACAAGAUAUAGGUUAAUCAGGGUUGGAAACUUGGCUGCGACAUCAUUUAGGACUCAAGAGUGUGCUUGAUAGUCGGGAGUUGGGAUGAUCGUUACGCCACGGUUGAAUGGUGAGUAAUGGAUGAAUCAUUGUGGCGUAUGAAUUGAUGGUAGCAAGCAGGGUAGCAAGUCAAUGCACAAUGCUAGGGUGGAAUUGGUUGAACUUAUUGUAUCCAAGAUUCUGUAUGGAUAUAACUGAUUCUAAAUGCUACACAGGGUAAUCCAAGUUCCUUUGAAAGAGAGUCGAGUUACACUAAUGUCACGCCCGGGUACCAACGGAAGCAUAUCCGGUACGUGCACAGACCCGCCAUACACUUGCAGUAUAUAAGGCGUCUAUAAAGAAAACAUGUCGAUAGAAGGAAUACAUAGAAGAAUCCUAUCCUGAUAUCAGAGCAAAGUAUAAGUCAAUAAUAUCAUUCUCAGAAGAACAGUGAGUAUAUGAUCCAAAACAACUCAACAUCGUAGAGAAAUAUUACAAGUAUAAUCCCCGAUUCAAAGAUUUCAUAUACAUCACAGGGCUACUCAAAAUACAUGUACAAUGGUAGUCUCUCUAUACACGGGUACAUCACCCUCGACCGUGGCACGAGUAGCAAGGUGAUCAUCUAGUAAAAUAGCAAGCUAGGUCUAGCUAGAUGCGACUUCCUUGCCGCGAUCCCUAGCCUCUCCUGUAGGUGGCUCUGUAAAAACAACAAUAAAAAGGGCGUGAGAACUAUUAAACAAUAGUUCCCAGUGGGUAAGCCGCCAGCCUCGGUGAAUUACACCACUAGGCUCAUAAUAUACUAAAUAAAAGUAAAGCAGUAAUUGCAUGAUAAAUCUACAAUGCUAAUAGGUAAUGAGCAUGUAAUCAUAUUUUCUACAGUAAAUGAAUCAACUGAAUAUGAAAAGCAUAGCAAUUACUGUAAGCAUGAACAUAAACAUGAACAUAAGUAUGAACGUGUAAGUAAAUACUGUACACUAUAACUGAUAAUCAUUCAUUACUAUCCACUGUCAUUUGGAACUUUAAUUUCAUUCAAAAAGACCUACACAAGGUAGUAUAGCUUGCGCCGCGCCUAAUGGCCCCGUGGUAGUAUGCACUCCCCACGACAAUCCACUUCGGCACCCAAUCCCGCACGGGCGAGCAAUCUGUUGCGUAGGCCAACUCCGGAGUGCCGGCUUGUAGGGAGCUACCCUCACAAGCGUGUGCGAAUGAGCACAAUGGCAAGCAAGCAAAGUUCAUAGUCCAAUAUGUCUCGAACAUCAUGUCAUAGUAUGCUAUGUUCUUACUCUCGAUCUAUUGAUCGGAAUUCUCAAUAUAAAAAACAAUGACAAUAGCUAGUAUCCACUAGAUUAGUAAGCACAUGAAAGUAAUGCUAAUUUACAUAUGGCAUUAGAAACUUUCCACUAUCGAGGUACUAUCAAAAUAGUCACAAGAAAUGUCAUUGUUCUCUCCUCUAUAGGAGCAUAAUAGACUUGUCUAUUAGUUGCAACUGAACUAAUCAUAAACAUAAACAUAAAUACUUUUAUGCAUGAGUUCUCUCUACUUCAUAGAGGUUACAUUUCAAAUGUAUCAAACGUUGUGGCGAUGAUGUUCCAAGUCCUUUAUCAAUCACAUAAUCACAAAAGCGCACAAAUAAACCAAUUCUAUAGUAUUAUAUAGAACAUAAGGGAGCUUCACUUGCUCUGGUUAGGUCAAACCCACCUAUCACUAAGCUCAAUGCAACCCAAAUGAAUCCCGCAAUUCAGCUCACUGGUUCAUGAACCUGCUGAAAAUCAAGUAUUAAAAUCGCAUCAAAACUACAACCGAAUUGUCCAAAUUCGGCACAAAACUCACUUAGUACAAAGUAGUAGCUUGAGUUCCUGAUUUGGUUCACUUUAGUACCUCAAGAUUAACCUCUAAAGGCUCUCCAAUGCCCACCGAAGAUGAUCCAGAGGUCGGUUGCACUCUCGCUGCGAACAACACCAAAACGGCAUCAAAAUGCUUGUAUACAAGUUAAUAUAGCCGAAAUCUUGCGAAUUCAGUUUUCUAACUGAAAUUUCAGCUUACCCCUGGUUGAAACACCUUCUAAACCAGCCCCCAAGGUCACCAAUUUAACGCAAAGUGAAUUGGAAACCUGCUGCGAAGAAACAAUUCCAAACUGCAUUAAGUCGCUCGAUUAAACAGCGUAUAGUUUCGAAAUAGCUUCAUAAAUAACUAAUUACCUUUAUCAAGCUUCAAAGCAGCCUUUCCCUGGAUUAAAAUGGGUAAAUCACAGCUAGAUAACUCCUCUCUAGCUGCUGGAAUCCUCCUCCAACUCAGCUGGGAGCAACAAAACCGAAACGGCUCAAAAUCCGACACUAGUACACAAACUAGGGAGAAAUUGAGCUAAAUACCUUUCUACAGCUUUUUUUCAGCAACUCCCUAUAUUAGAUAUGAAGAACACUGCCAAAACACCUCACUUCACCCUUCAAAAGCUGGCCCCAAGUCCACCCAAACAGCAUGCGUCGAGCGGAGCGUGAAAUCGGCGCGAAACGGCGAUGUCUACUCGAAGAGAGAGAAACCCUAGAGAGAGAAAGUGGAGAAAGUGAAAGAACCUUUCUCUGAGCUCUAGCAACCUCCACCAAGCUCCAGGAGUCGUGUUGGGUCAAAUAGAUAGGGAUUAGAUGCGAAAUUACCAAAAUAGCCUUGCUGCCACGUAUCUGCCAUUGUGUACCGGUACAAGAUGAUGGCUGUACCGGUACACAAUGCAAAAUUUCACCAGUAAUGCACUUUCUUGCUUCCGGCCGUUCAAUCACUUCUCUAACUUAUCCAAAAACUUGUCUAAGCCUUUUAGAAGAUGUAGGAUAGAUCCACAUAUCAUUCCACACACUCGAACUUCGCAAUUUGCUAAAGUUCAGUGUAUUACAACUAAAUUCCAUUUGGACUCAAUUAGGCAUAAUUUGUUCUAUCAAACUUGCAUCAUUUAUAGUAUUGUUAUGAACAAAAGCUUUUCUUACUAAAAUAUCAGGAAAGUUCUUGCCUUCUUGUGAAUGAGUGGAUGACUGCUUGCUUCUUUUGCCACUAAUCAGGUGAAGCUAUUCCUCUUGAAUACAAUUUGGCGGGACUGAAUGCUAUAUCCUUUGAAAAAGGUUGCUAUGUAGGCCAGGAGCUUGUCGCACGGACACAUCAUCGCGGUGUUAUUCACAAGCGCUUGCUUCCUUUUAAGUUUUUAAAUGAUAAUGGUGAAGGUACUUAUUUUCUAGUUAUUAACUUUAAUUUUUCUUUUGGUACUGUUGUUUAGAUGCUCAUGUAUUAUUGUUUACUUUACUCAGAAGUUGAGCAGGUUGUAUCCCCUGGUUCAGAGAUUGCGGAGAGUAAUUCCAACAAGACAGUUGGCACUGCAAAUACGGCAGUUGGGUGUUGUGGAAUGGGCAUACUCAGACUCGAAGAAGCAUUCAACCCAUCAUCUACACUCACAAUCAAGGAUCAAAACAAGAUUCAAGUUAAGGUUAUUAGACCAGAUUGGUGGCCUACGGAAUGGAAUCAUGUACAUGAAGAACAAACUGUUGCUGCUUAAUUGUGACUAAAUUGUAAUCUCUGAUGAUGAGGGAUUUUGAGUUGAUAGCGUUUGAGCUAACUUAUGUCUGUAAUCUUGGGUAGUUAUCACUGCCUCGAUUGUAGAGUUUAUGUAGCAGUGCAAGGUGAAUAAAAAGAUUUUCAGGAAUGUCAUUAGGAGACUGACUAGUGGAGAAAAAGUUACUGAUUGUACCGCAUAUUCUAAAUUUUGCAUUUACAAGUCCAGGACUCUCCAUUAUCAAUUUUAUUUCUCUUUAUUUACUUCUGCUUUUCUUUUAUUUUCGUUUUUAGUCUGGUUAUUAAACCUUUGUAAAUGGCUUAUAUGCAGGUAAUAAAAUAAAGUGAGGAAUUAGUUGGUGGAGUUGGUCUUAUAUGUUGAUAAACUGAACAUUGAGUAAGCUUAUUUUUUUCCUUUAUACCUGAAAUGUUCUAUAGCUUAAUUAGAUACCUAGCCUUAUAUGUAUUAUCUCUUACCAUUAACUCAUCAUAUGCUGUUAUGGGUGGAUUAGAUAAUGUUGUAUGAGAAGAGCCGGAUAAAUAUAAUGCUGUGGGAAAAAACAAAAUACUAAUUAUUAAGGCUUCAUUUCAUUUCAUUAUAUUGACAUUUUUGAAAUGUGGGAAAUGUUGCUUUUGAAUGGUUGGAAGUUUGAAUGGCCUCCUCAUAGGCAACCAUUUCUGGCUGUUCUUACUCUUAGUAGUUUCACACUUUUGCCUCCAAUGGUAAUCUACUACUUGGUAGUCACUUCUUGCUGUUCUUAUUCCCAAUCGUUGCGCAUGUUUCUUUACUUCAGUUAUUUGCUGUUCCUGCUACAGUCACUGCUUGCUGUUCUUAUCCCUGGUCGUUGCGCAUAUUUGCUUCCUACAGUUAUUUGCUUUCCCUACUACUACUCUGUGCUUAUGAGUGGUGUUGCCGAAUCUUCUUAGCUGAUCCUUACUUUUUUGUGAUUUUUUUGGGGACUGUUUGAAUUAGUUCUUUUGUAAGGUCACAGAAAUAGCAAUUUUUAUUGGAGACUGGCUAAUUAUAUUCAUAUUCACGCUGUAGUUGUUUCGUUCUACACAUUCUCGCAUUGUAGAAAAUCCAGCUCCAACCUUCUCAGAGCUCUCUCUCGCCCUCGCCUCUCUCCAUUGGUAGGAGGUCGCCUCUCAAUCGCUUGUACGACACUCUAAACCGCUCCCAUGUCCAUCCCAGGAUCUGUCCAAACCGCUUUCCUGCCCAAUCCAAGAUCUGCCACUUGUUCAUUCACUCAUGUGCGCCCGAAAUUGGUGGCGAUUUCUGACCUCGCGGCCACAACCCAAAUAGGGGACUCAACCGAAACAAGAGACUCUUUUAAUGCCUAUAAUCUUGUUCUUUCAAAUUUUUUAUUUAAUAUAAAAUUUCUAUUUUUAGGGUUUAGGGUGUCACCUUCACAUUCACCUUUGCCGUGCUGCGGAUUUCGUCACCGAGUAACAGACUCACUCAAUUUUAGAACACUGCCGGUAUAUAUUAAUUUUGGUUGCAUUUAUAUAAAUUCAGGGUUUAGGGUUAGAAUUAGGGUUUAGGGUUUAGAAGUUAUGUAAGGUACCGGACUUCUAAAGGUAUGAAGUUACGGUGUACGUUUAAAUGGUUCCGGUGAGGUUGCGGUGUAAUGUAAUAUACCGGAUUUAAAUAUAAAAAUAGAAAUAAAUAAAAAUAGUAUGAGAUACUAUUUUUAUUGGAUUUAGAGAAGUGAAAUAUAGGUUGGGAAUGACCUGUGCUGAAAUCGGAAUUAAAACAGAAGAUUUAGAAUUUUCUGUUGGAAAUGGGACAGAUAAAUUAGCAGAAAAUGCACAG